rnacentral:lncRNA from 1 species
UAUUGUUAGUAGUUUUAGUGAUAGAUUUAGUUAGGUUAGUAGUUUUAGUUAGGUUAGUUAGUUAGCUUGGUUAGUUAGGUGGAGGAGGAGAAGAGGAGAAGAGGAGGAGGAGGAGGACGAGAAGAGGAGUAGGAGGAGGAGGAGGAGGAGGAGGAGAAGAAGAAGAAGAAGAAGAAGAAGAAGAGGAGGAGAAGAAAAAA